UGGGAACGUACCCUUCGGUUCGGAAUAACUCAGGGAAACUUGAGCUAAUACCGGAUACGUCCGAGAGGAGAAAGAUUUAUCGCCGAAGGAUCGGCCCGCGUCUGAUUAGCUAGUUGGUGAGGUAACGGCUCACCAAGGCGACGAUCAGUAGCUGGUCUGAGAGGAUGAUCAGCCACAUUGGGACUGAGACACGGCCCAGACUCCUACGGGAGGCAG
rnacentral:rRNA from 1 species